rnacentral:rRNA from 1 species
UUAAGCGACUAAGCGUACACGGUGGAUGCCCUGGCAGUCAGAGGCGAUGAAGGACGUGCUAAUCUGCGAAAAGCGUCGGUAAGGUGAUAUGAACCGUUAUAACCGGCGAUGUCCGAAUGGGGAAACCCAGUGUGAUUCGUCACACUAUCGUUAACUGAAUACAUAGGUUAACGAGGCGAACCGGGGGAACUGAAACAUCUAAGUACCCCGAGGAAAAGAAAUCAACCGAGAUUCCCCCAGUAGCGGCGAGCGAACGGGGAGCAGCCCAGAGUCUGAAUCAGCUUGUGUGUUAGUGGAACGGUCUGGAAAGUCCGACGGUACAGGGUGAUAGUCCCGUACACCAAAAUGCACAGGCUGUGAACUCGAAGAGUAGGGCGGGACACGUGGUAUCCUGUCUGAAUAUGGGGGGACCAUCCUCCAAGGCUAAAUACUCCUGACUGACCGAUAGUGAACCAGUACCGUGAGGGAAAGGCGAAAAGAACCCCGGCGAGGGGAGUGAAAAAGAACCUGAAACCGUGUACGUACAAGCAGUGGGAGCACCUUCGGGUGUGACUGCGUACCUUUUGUAUAAUGGGUCAGCGACUUAUAUUCUGUAGCAAGGUUAACCGUAUAGGGGAGCCGCAGGGAAACCGAGUCUUAACUGGGCGUUAAGUUGCAGGGUAUAGACCCGAAACCCGGUGAUCUAGCCAUGGGCAGGUUGAAGGUUGGGUAACACUAACUGGAGGACCGAACCGACUAAUGUUGAAAAAUUAGCGGAUGACUUGUGGCUGGGGGUGAAAGGCCAAUCAAACCGGGAGAUAGCUGGUUCUCCCCGAAAGCUAUUUAGGUAGCGCCUCGUGAAUUCAUCUUCGGGGGUAGAGCACUGUUUCGGCUAGGGGGUCAUCCCGACUUACCAACCCGAUGCAAACUACGAAUACCGAAGAAUGUUAUCACGGGAGACACACGGCGGGUGCUAACGUCCGUCGUGAAGAGGGAAACAACCCAGACCGCCAGCUAAGGUCCCAAAGUCAUGGUUAAGUGGGAAACGAUGUGGGAAGGCACAGACAGCCAGGAUGUUGGCUUAGAAGCAGCCAUCAUUUAAAGAAAGCGUAAUAGCUCACUGGUCGAGUCGGCCUGCGCGGAAGAUGUAACGGGGCUAAACCAUGCACCGAAGCUGCGGCAGCGACACUAUGUGUUGUUGGGUAGGGGAGCGUUCUGUAAGCCUGCGAAGGUGACCUGUGAGGGUUGCUGGAGGUAUCAGAAGUGCGAAUGCUGACAUAAGUAACGAUAAAGCGGGUGAAAAGCCCGCUCGCCGGAAGACCAAGGGUUCCUGUCCAACGUUAAUCGGGGCAGGGUGAGUCGACCCCUAAGGCGAGGCCGAAAGGCGUAGUCGAUGGGAAACAGGUUAAUAUUCCUGUACUUGGUGUUACUGCGAAGGGGGGACGGAGAAGGCUAUGUUAGCCGGGCGACGGUUGUCCCGGUUUAAGCAUGUAGGCUGGUUGUCCAGGCAAAUCCGGAUAAUCAAGGCUGAGGUGUGAUGACGAGGCACUACGGUGCUGAAGUAACAAAUGCCCUGCUUCCAGGAAAAGCCUCUAAGCAUCAGGUAACAUUAAAUCGUACCCCAAACCGACACAGGUGGUCAGGUAGAGAAUACCAAGGCGCUUGAGAGAACUCGGGUGAAGGAACUAGGCAAAAUGGUGCCGUAACUUCGGGAGAAGGCACGCUGGUGUGUAGGUGAAGUCCCUGCGGAUGGAGCUGAGACCAGUCGAAGAUACCAGCUGGCUGCAACUGUUUAUUAAAAACACAGCACUGUGCAAACACGAAAGUGGACGUAUACGGUGUGACGCCUGCCCGGUGCCGGAAGGUUAAUUGAUGGGGUUAUCCGUAAGGAGAAGCUCUUGAUCGAAGCCCCGGUAAACGGCGGCCGUAACUAUAACGGUCCUAAGGUAGCGAAAUUCCUUGUCGGGUAAGUUCCGACCUGCACGAAUGGCGUAAUGAUGGCCAGGCUGUCUCCACCCGAGACUCAGUGAAAUUGAACUCGCUGUGAAGAUGCAGUGUACCCGCGGCAAGACGGAAAGACCCCGUGAACCUUUACUAUAGCUUGACACUGAACAUUGAGCCUUGAUGUGUAGGAUAGGUGGGAGGCUUUGAAGCGUGGACGCCAGUCUGCGUGGAGCCAACCUUGAAAUACCACCCUUUAAUGUUUGAUGUUCUAACGUUGGCCCCUGACCGGGGUUGCGGACAGUGUCUGGUGGGUAGUUUGACUGGGGCGGUCUCCUCCCAAAGCGUAACGGAGGAGCACGAAGGUUAGCUAAUCCUGGUCGGACAUCAGGAGGUUAGUGCAAUGGCAUAAGCUAGCUUGACUGCGAGCGUGACGGCGCGAGCAGGUGCGAAAGCAGGUCAUAGUGAUCCGGUGGUUCUGAAUGGAAGGGCCAUCGCUCAACGGAUAAAAGGUACUCCGGGGAUAACAGGCUGAUACCGCCCAAGAGUUCAUAUCGACGGCGGUGUUUGGCACCUCGAUGUCGGCUCAUCACAUCCUGGGGCUGAAGUAGGUCCCAAGGGUAUGGCUGUUCGCCAUUUAAAGUGGUACGCGAGCUGGGUUUAGAACGUCGUGAGACAGUUCGGUCCCUAUCUGCCGUGGGCGCUGGAGAAUUGAGGGGGGCUGCUCCUAGUACGAGAGGACCGGAGUGGACGCAUCACUGGUGUUCGGGUUGUCAUGCCAAUGGCACUGCCCGGUAGCUAAAUGCGGAAGAGAUAAGUGCUGAAAGCAUCUAAGCACGAAACUUGCCCCGAGAUGAGUUCUCCCUGAGACUUUAAGUCUCCUGAAGGAACGUUAAAGACGAUGACGUUGAUAGGCCGGGUGUGUAAGCGCAGCGAUGCGUUGAGCUAACCGGUACUAAUGAACCGUGAGGCUUAACCUU